CAAGUCGAACGAGAUUAUCCAGCUUGCUGGAUAUGAAAGUGGCGCACGGGUGCGUAACGCGUGAGCAACCUACCUCUGUCAGGGGGAUAGCCCGGCGAAAGUCGGAUUAACACCGCAUGACAUUAUUGAUGUGGCAUCACAUUAUAAUCAAAUAUUUAUAGGACAGAGAUGGGCUCGCGUGACAUUAGCUAGUUGGAGAGGUAACGGCUCACCAAGGCAACGAUGUCUAGGGGCUCUGAGAGGAGAAUCCCCCACACUGGUACUGAGACACGGACCAGACUCCUACGGGAGGCAGCAGUAAGGAAUAUUGGUCAAUGGAGGGAACUCUGAACCAGCCAUGCCGCGUGCAGGAUGACUGCCCUAUGGGUUGUAAACUGCUUUUGUCGGGGAAUAAACCUACGUUUGUAAACGUAGCUGAAUGUACCCGAAGAAUAAGGAUCGGCUAACUCCGUGCCAGCAGCCGCGGUAAUACGGAGGAUCCAAGCGUUAUCCGGAUUUAUUGGGUUUAAAGGGUGCGUAGGCGGUUCUUUAAGUCAGAGGUGAAAGACGGCAGCUUAACUGUCGCAGUGCCUUUGAUACUGAAGAACUUGAAUUAGGUUGAGGAAUGCGGAAUGAGACAAGUAGCGGUGAAAUGCAUAGAUAUGUCUCAGAACCCCGAUUGCGAAAGGGCAGCAUUUCCAAAGCCUUUUUUUGGACCCUGAUGCCACGAAAAGGCUGGGGGAAUUUAAAAAAGGG
rnacentral:rRNA from 1 species